rnacentral:lncRNA from 1 species
ACGCACGUUGCAACCCCGGGCUUCGCUGAAAUUUGAAUGAAGUGAAAGCCCCAUUGCACGUGCAAAAUCGAUGCCAUUCGUGUUGCAGUUCAUCUCGAUAAUUUCCACGAUUGAUCUGUGUCAAAGUAAUGGUUACAUCGGUUAAUCAUCAUUUUUAAUUUAUUUAUGUUAUUUCAGUGAUGAAUUUGCCUCGUUAAACUCUUCAGCUUGUUUUCGAACACAGUGUUCUAUGGAUUUUGAGCUAGUCCUAGAGGCACAAAUCAAAUAGCUAUUGUUUUCGUUAUUUGAGGUUUUGGAUUUGUUUCUUUUGCUUCUCAAAACAACGCUUAUACUACUCUAUUAUCAAUCAAAUAUUAAAAAUACUGAAAUAUGGUUGAAUUUCCUUAAAUGAGUCAGACCUUGAUUUUUAAUGAAUUAUUUUUAUUGUUUUUGAAUUUUUUUAUAUGGUUUUUGUUUAAUUAUUUUAUUUGGCUGUGAAGAUGAAUAAUCAGCUUAAUGCCAGUUCUGCUUCUGAAAAAUCGUGAUUGUUAGAGCUGUUCAAAAUGUUCUGAGCCUCUUUCAAUUUUGAAUUUAAUUAUUAUUUUUGUAUUAGGUCUCAUUCUAAUUAGAAUCACUCAAUUUUAAUGAAGUUGAUUAUUAAAAUUGGUUGCUUAUGAUGAUAUAAUCCAAUUUUUUUGAGGUGUUGUGGAGCCAAGCCCCUGUUUACAGGGAGAACCUACUUGGUGAAGCUUCAUUCAUAUGACUUCAUUGGAUUUCACUGAGGC